rnacentral:misc_RNA from 1 species
AAGUCGUAACAAGGUAACCGUAGGUGAACCUGCGGUUGGAUCAUUAAUAAAAUCUUUAAUUGUUAAGUGGUUAAUCAAAAAUUUAUUUUUUUGUAUUAACCCUUUUCAAACAUUUUGUGAACUGUUUUAUUGUUUUUUGGUAGGGCUUAUAGGAUAAUUUUUUUUUAUCUGAAAUAUUUUUUUAUGUGUAGCAAUACUAUAGAAAAAUGUUUUACCUACCAAGUUUUUAAACUUUUUAAAAAUAUUUAUAUACAAGUCUUUAGAAAAAUUGAAAAUUUUGUUUUCAUAUUAUUUAAAAUUAUAAAACAACUUUUGACAACGGAUCUCUAGGCUCUCA